AAAUAACACUAUUUGACACGUCACGUAAGCUUCUUUACCAAUCUGCACCUGCAUAUGACCCCACGUCACAUAAUAAUUUAACACUUUGUACGUAGUUUAUUACACAUUGAUUACACUCUCACUCUAUUUCAUACGUCACAACGAUUCACCGAUACGUGUCGCUAUGAGUCAUAGAUUUUGUCACCGAUGAUAACAUUUGCAUAAAGGCCAUUUGGACUCCGCCCAAGUCUCAGGUACUGAUGAAAGACAUUCACUCAACUUCUGUUCUCCCGAGGUAAAAAAAAAUCAAUGGCUGCCCAAUUUCUGGAAGAUCGUAAAUCUACCAUCUCUGAUUUGCACCAGACUGCUGCUCACGGACAGAAGAGAUGGACUUCAACCAUCAAUAGCCCGUAUCCUAUCAAGCGUCUUUGGAGGGAAGGUGGUAUCACAUCACCAAGGAGCAGCUUGAGGUGGAGGAUUGUUAUCCAUGGUGCUGUGGAUGGUUACAGCAGACUUGUUGGGUUUCUGAAGGCCUCUGACAACAACAGGAGUGCCACAGUCAUGGAUGUCAUUCGAAGCAGCCAUCACCAGCUACGGAGUACCAUCCCGGGUGAGAUGUGACCCGGGUGGUGAAAACAACCGUAUCUGUGCCUUCAUGGAGCAAUUCAGGGGUGGUGAGAGGGGAAGUGCCCUCAGAGGAAGGAGCACACAACCAGAGGAUAGAGUGGCUGUAGGGGGACGUCUGGCAUGGAGUCUCCAACGUUUACCAUGACCUGUUCACCUUCUUGGAGACGGAGCAGAUCAUCGACAUCAACAAUGGGGUGGACCUGUGGGCACUGCACUUUGUGUUCCAGCCACGGAUGAACAGAGAUCUUGCUGUGUUUGCCAGUCAGGGGACCCACCAUGGGCUGAGGACUGAACAACGGCAGUCACCUCUGCAGUUGUUCGUCUCGGGCUCCCUGGCAAUGCAGAGGGCCAAUCUGACAGCUGUAAGGGAUUUGUUUGCCCCAAAUUCAACCACCAUCAGCUCUCAAGCCACCACCUCAGCUCCUCCUCCAACAACCAUCACCUCAGCGCCUCCUCCAACCACCACCUCAGCUCCUCCUCCAACAACCAUCACCUCAGCGCCUCCUCCAACCACCACCUCAGCUCCUCCUCCAACAACCACCACCUCAGCUCCUCCUCCAACAACCAUCACCUCAGCGCCUCCUCCAACCACUGGCGCCGCAGCUAUUUAUUGGUCGGAAUGGGUGAUUGUGCCACAAACCCAGUUCACCAUCAGCAACACACAGAUGGAGCUGUUGUGGACAAUAAUUCAAUUGGAAGUCCCCAGAGGCAGCCUGGGAGUUGACAUUCUACAGAGGGUUAUGGCAGUUAUAUCUUCAGCGCCACUCGUUCCUACUUCAACCUGAUUUAUACUCCCCUACUGGGAUGAGGGAUUGGAUGCUAUAUCUUCAGCUCCACUCCUUCCUUUGAAUCAGUUCAUUUUUAUAAUACUAUUAUACAUUUUAUAAUACUAACAUUCCCCCUCUCACACACUGUAUGAUUUGGUCUCUAGAAAGGUGCGACAGACAUUUACAACUCUAAACAGAUGGGGACCAGAGUUUAGACACAGUAUAACACGACCCAGGAGAGGCCUACUGCAAGCACUGGAUUAGAGCCUUCAGAGCGCGCCUGCUGUGGGAGGACAACAGAACAUUCUGAAUGGACAUUAUUAAAACAGAACUUGCAUUUUUGUAAUGCCCAAUCGGGACUUUUAUAAAUUGUUAAAAUAAAUGUGUGGAGAAAGCCCUAUAGUUAAAAAAAAUAAUUUAAAAAAACUAUGAAGAUAGGGAUUCGGCUCCCGUUACAUUUUAUAUCUUUGUGAUUAACAGCAACCGAUUACAGUUACUAACAUAACAUUGUUGACACAUUGUGGCAGCUCAAAUGAUGUGGUUGAAGAUGGACUAGUGCAGGGCUCUCCAACCCUGUACCUGGAGAGCUACUGUCUUGUAAGUUCACUCCAACCCUAAUCUAGUGCACCUGAUUUGAAUAAUUACCUGCUUAAUAAAUUAAUCAGGUUAGUUACAAUUGAGGUUGGAUUGAAAACCUACAGGAGGGCAGCUCUCCAGGAACAAGGUUGGAGAGCUUUGGACUAAUGGAUCUAGUUCUUAGAUCAAUGCAUUUGAAAUUCGAUAAGUUACUACGAAGGUGCAGUUCCCAGAAGUGGAGCUGUCACUUAAUACAGUGGAUGGGAAGUCUUAUUUCAUGUAGUUCUAAUUAAAUGAUUGUUGAAGUUUAUUGUUCUUAAUGUAGGACAUCAAAUUAUCAGAUUUGGAUGAGUUGGCUGCGAUAUGGCAGGAGUACUUCAGUCAAUAUCAGCAAAGGAUAUUGGUUAUUAGUGAAGUGUCAGUAAAGUGUUUCUAAAAAAUAAAAAAAACGCCAAGACAAGCAAUAUGGAUUGUAAUAAUUUAAUUUUAAAGGAUCAUUAAGUGCACAAUAACAGCCGAUAUGGAAAUACAGUGCAUUUGGAAAGUAUUCAGACCCCCUUGACUUUUUCCACAUUUUGUUACAUUAGAG
ensembl:lncRNA